rnacentral:snRNA from 1 species
GCAAGUUUGUACACUUAGAUGACAUCUGCCUCUCAUUGACUUCCAGGGUGGACUCAGCUCGUCUGGCUGGCUAAGCAGUGUCUCCUUCCUCUCGCAUGGCUCCAUGUGUGUCCCUCCUAAAGUUUCUUGCCAGGUGGGAGAGGAAGAGGGCCAUUCUUCAGUCAUGGGUAUACAAGUGGCGUGGUCCCCAGGUAGAACCUCCAUACACAUUGUCAGGCUGUUACUACUCUGUAAUUUGCAUAUGAGGAGUGACGAGGUAAUAUAAAUUUCUCAAGGUGUGAGAAAAU